CGGCGUGCCUAAUACAUGCAAGUAGAACGCACAGGAUGCACCGUAGUUUACUACACCGUAUUCUUUGAGUUGCGAACGGGUGAGUAACGCGUAGGUAACCUGCCUGGUAGCGGGGGAUAACUAUUGGAAACGAUAGCUAAUACCGCAUAAGAACAUUUACUGCAUGGUAGAUGUUUAAAAGGUGCAAAUGCAUCACUACCAGAUGGACCUGCGUUGUAUUAGCUAGUUGGUGAGGUAACGGCUCACCAAGGCAACGAUACAUAGCCGACCUGAGAGGGUGAUCGGCCACACUGGGACUGAGACACGGCCCAGACUCCUACGGGAGGCAGCAGUAGGGAAUCUUCGGCAAUGGGGGGAAACCCCUGACCGAGCAAACGCCGCGUGAGUGAAAGAAAGGUUUUUCGGAUUCGUAAAAGCUUCUG
rnacentral:rRNA from 1 species